ACCACCUGAUUGUGGGAUUUCCCAAAGUGUAUAUAUAUAUGGUAUAUAUUAAUCGUAUUAAACGUAAACCUCUUGUCUAUAUCUUGUUCGUAAGUGAAAUGAAUUUUUAUUCAGUAAAUCGAUAUAAAAUCAGGUAAGUGAUAAUAAUAACGUACUUCACAAUAUUUUUUCGUGAUGGUUAAAUUAAAAUUGCCGAGACAGCGAUACAGGGUCGCUAAAAAAACAUCUGAAAUUUCUUUAUUAAUAGCAUCUAUAUAAUACCAAAAAAAAAAAUAUACCUUUAGUCAGAAAUACGCAGAUAAUAAUAACUGCACUACGAAUAAAUUAAAUGUACAAUUCCAGUUGCCUGUUACAUCCCGUUUUCCAGAAAAUAAUAUCUCUAAAAAUGAAUCUGUAAUAGAUAUAUUUCUUAAUCACGAAAAUUUAUUAUUAUUAUCGGUAAAUUUGCUUAAUUAGUUUUGUGUAGAAAUACUUGCAGUUAAUAUGUUUUAGGCACAAGAAGUUAUAAGAAUUGGCGGACAUACCUACUCCCUACGAAUUUGUAAAGAGGGUGUUUACAAAAAUUUUGUCGGACGAUAUUUCCGUAAGAUAUAACUGGUUAGGUGCCAAACAAAGGAAGUAUUUUGUCAUCUCCAUCUAUCUAGACUGAUAAUAAAUGCUGCUAGAUUAAAUCCAGCAAAAUCCAGUUGUUCAAGUAAGAAUCUAGAAGAAGCGAUAAAAAAUUGCGAAGAGCAAAAGAACGGUUAAUCACCAAAAGUAUACGAAAUUCCUUAUUGUAAUAUUGGUACCUUGUAUUUAUCCAUAACAUGUUCAAAUAAGUAUUUUUUUAUUUGUAUGCAAUAAACUUAGAUAGAGAUUUA